rnacentral:lncRNA from 1 species
AUACUGUCUGGGACUGCGACUUCAGGACGGGCAAGAUCGGCUGGUUCCUGGGAGGCCAGUUGAAUGUGUCUGUCAACUGCCUGGACCAGCACGUGCAGAAGUCUCCCGACACCAUAGCUUUGAUUUGGGAGAGAGAUGAACCUGGGACAGAAGUGAGGAUCACUUACAGGUACUGUGCGUCACCUGGAAUUCUCAGCACCCAAAACACAUCCUGGACGUUUCUGCAGUUUGGGUUUGGGGAAGGAACAUGGCCUCUUUGUGACCAUUAACAUACUUUCCAGUCUGGAA